GAACAUAUUAGUUUUGUAUACAGUUUGGAACAAUUUUAAACUGAAACUUUGAUUUACAAUUCGCAUUGAAAUUAUUAAACAGACCCUGGAAUUUUUUUUUUGUACUGUUACUUCCAAACAGCUGGAAAAACAUCCCAUUUCAAGUCAGGGAAUUGCGGGGUAAAUAAAUAGAAUAAGUGACAAUUAGUAAAGUAAAGUGGAGCAGAGGUAGGUGAAUCUCGAGUGGUUUCACUAUACAACUCGCUUUGUUUUUUGGUGGAAUGAUGAUGACUGCAAAUUUAUCGAUGCUUUAUCAUGCGAGUUUAAAGAAGGAAAUAUUUUUUCAUUUAGGUAUUUUGAAAUGAAGCGUCAGCUAUUGUCGCUCCGUGAACACGCAGAGUCGGGGAACCGUUUUCAAGCCCGGGAGGCGCCAUUUAAUCUCUACAAUGUUCUUCACUAAAUUUGGAGAAACCAGACAAAAUCGAACAAUUCCAAAAAGGUUUCUAACCUACUGAGUUUUCGAAAAUACUUGAAAAUCUACAGAAACUUUUUUUUAUUGAACCGCGUACCAAUAGGGUUUCAGAGCUCAUUUUUUUCUAAUAUAUUUUUGAUAAAUCAAGCAGUUUCCAAAUUUUAAUUUAAAAAAAAAAACCGGAAGUCAUUAGAUCCUCCAAACCCAUAAAUCCAUCUCCUUAUCCCAAAUAACCGUUCUCUUACCCCUCUUUCCUCUCUUUUUGGUAGUGUACCGCCUGUUCAAUGUGGCACAUUGCACAAUCUGUUCACUUUUAUGCUUUUGCUUGGGAUUAGCAGUUUGCUACCAGACCUCCUCUCUCCCAUUGCUCCGCGCAUUCUGGGCGGGACCUAGUUGUGACCUAGUUUCUGAUGUCCACAAGAUGAAUGAUAUUCUUAUACAUUUUAUAAAAUUUUUUAUGGAAACAGGAAAAACUUUCCAAAUUCCAGAAAGACUUAGUUUGAUUGGCUGCAAUCGUGGGUGUCCUUGAAAAAUGGCCGGUCAUCUUUCAAUGGAUUACAUUGAAAUGUGUCGGGCUCGCCUUUUUUCUUUCCCCGUUUUUAUACACUUUUUCGAUUCCUUUUUGUAAACUUUUUUUCAUCCACAUUCUACCACAUUCUAAUUUUGCUCAGUUCUUUCGGAAUUUUUGUCUAGUGCAAUUUGAAAAAAAAACAGUUUUUCGAAAUGCCAAUUUUUUUGAAAAAACUUGAAAAUUUUGAAAAAUUACCGUAUUUUGCCUAUUAGACUUGCCACCCUUAUUGCUCUACUUUGACGGCGUAUGUCUCGGUUGUCUUUGAUUUUUUCAAAACAUGUUUCGCUGUCCAAAUGUAGUAAUGUGUUUUGCACGUAUUUUGUCAGUUUACAAUUUUUUUGAUAAAUUUAUAGGAAACUG
ensembl:lincRNA linc-139 ncRNA